CCUACGGGAGGCUGCAGUGGGGAAUAUUGGACAGUGGGGGCAACCCUGAUCCAGCCAUGCCGCGUGUGUGAAGAAGGCCCUCGGGUUGUAAAGCACUUUCAGUGAGGAAGAACGCCUGGUGGUUAAUACCCAUCAGGAAAGACAUCACUCACAGAAGAAGCACCGGCUAACUCCGUGCCAGCAGCCGCGGUAAUACGGAGGGUGCGAGCGUUAAUCGGAAUUACUGGGCGUAAAGCGCGCGUAGGUGGCUUGAUAAGCCGGUUGUGAAAGCCCCGGGCUCAACCUGGGAACGGCAUCCGGAACUGUCAAGCUAGAGGGCAGGAGAGGAAGGUAGAAUUCCCGGUGUAGCGGUGAAAUGCGUAGAGAUCGGGAGGAAUACCAGUGGCGAAGGCGGCCUUCUGGACUGACACUGACACUGAGGUGCGAAAGCGUGGGUAGCAAACAGGAUUAGAUACCCCAGUAGUC
rnacentral:rRNA from 1 species